GGCUGCCGAAGGUUCCGAUGGCCCAACGCCUGUGAGGUGGUUCUGUCAGAAUUAAAAGCAGUGCUCUGGAAGGACAGGUGACGGUUCUCCAAGAAUGUGGGAAAGCUCUUAGAAACUCGUCAGGAAUUCUGAGCCAGAUAGCACUGUGCUAAGGUGCUUCAAAGGUGAACAGUAAUGCAGAGUGUGUAGUAAAGGACUUGCUUAUUUGGGGAUUCUCUUACACAUUCUCCUUUCAGCUUUCACAGAUGAGGCAGACAAAACGAGUACUGUGGAGCAGCCUGAAUAUGAUUCAGCAAGAACAUCUUGCCUAUAAGCAUCAAUAGGAAGGGAGGCACAGAGAAACUGCAAGAUGAUGAAGGGAUAAGGCUGACAAUAGAUGAACACUGAAGCAUGUCUGAAACGUGGGAGGUCUCAUGGUGGAAAUAAUUUGUGAGAAGAUGCAUUUUUGAGUGAUGAUUCAGCAGGUUGAAAACUGAAUCUCAGUAUCAAGACUUCUGACAAAGGAAUUGCUGACACCAAAUCAGGACACAACCCAGCUGUGGACAAACAGUGCAGCCAUGAGGGGAAUAAGAAAGGGGCAAGAGUUUAAGCGUUACAGAGAUGGAUAAUGGGGAAUAUUACGGUUUUGAGUAGGGACUUCUUGGUGGGCCACAGCUUCUGGGGUUGGCCGUACAUGGAAGGAAAAAAUAAGCAUGUUUCUCAUGGACAUAAAA